AGGGGGGCCCUGCUCGGCGGGCAGAUGGUGGCGAGGAGGAUGAAACCUCCUUAUUUCCCCCCCCCUCCACUCGUACAAGCACUGAGCUACUCGUAUAAGCGUUAUAAAUAUUUAUUCGGUUGCAAAUAUAAACCCUCCGCCUUCGCUGGCCUGAAGCGCCCGGCGGUCCUCUUAGUUUCACGCCCUCACCUGGAGUUUCUCUUCGCAGUUUUAACCCAGUCUUUGCAGGCUGUUAAAAUCAGUUGCUUUUUCCCAUCUCAAGGAAAUGCAUCUUUGACACUUCUCAUGACCUGAGUCACGAUGCUGUCACGGAGCCAGAAAACAUCCUCAACGGUCAUGGGAAAGCAUCUUAACGUUUUCACGAGGAAAGAUAACACACGUUCGACUGGAUAAAACAAACCAUGAAAGCAAAAGCCCACUUUGGCAGCAGUCAGGGCUCGUGGUGCCGGGCGUGUUCCUUCGGAGGCUGUUGAGUUUUGCCUGUCAGGCU